CCUAGCAGUCCUAGCGCCUGCGCUGUUGCGGGAAGACCGCGACAGGGUAGAACUUGCGGGCUCUUUCCUCCGUGCGAUUGAUCUGAACCCCGAAGCUGGAUUCUGUCUGCUAGAGUCCGUACAGUGAUGGGAUCCUCCUGGCGUCCAAGUUCUCUUUAGCUCAUGUCACUGGGGACCUGAACUGCCUCAAAGAUCUAAAGGUUUUUUCUGUCUGGUUUCGCUUCCGCCUCCUGACCCCACGUGGAGAUCACUAAAUCACCAGCCCUUCCCAGGAAACUACAAGAGCCAGACCUCUAAUUUCAGCGUGUUGUGCAGCAAAUGGAAUCUCUUAUAUGUACCAUCUCCAUUCCUCCAACAAACUACAAGAAGAAGAAACUUAUUUUCAGGAUGGUUUCGGCAAGUAGAAUGGAAUCCUUUUGUAUGCGCCAUCUCAAUUCCUCUAAAACUACAAAGACAAAGCACUUAGACUACUGUAUUUUGCUCAAGAAGCUAAAUGGAGUUGCUUACAAGCAUUAUGUGGUUUCCCAAUAAAUUAUAAGUGCAGUUUCCCAAUAAACUACAAAACCUAGA